rnacentral:rRNA from 1 species
UCUAGAAUGAAAGGUUGGACAAAGGAAAAACUGUCUUUAUAAUAAAGAUUGAAAUUUACUUUUAAGUGAAAAGGCUUAAAUUAUUCAAAGGGACGAUAAGACCCUAUAAAGCUUUAUAAAUUGUUAUAAAUUUAAUUAAUAUAAAUUAAUAAAAGUUAGAUUUGAUUGUUUUAUUUUGUUGGGGUGACAUGAGUAUAACUUGAAUUAACUGCUUAAAGAACAUACUAUUAUUAAAAGAAUGAAAAAAAUGAUCCUUUAUAGAGAUUAAAAGAUUAAGUUACUUUAGGGAUAACAGCGUAAUUUCUUUUGAGAGUUCUUAUCGAAAAAGAAGAUUGCGACCUCGAUGUUGAAUUAAAAUGUCUUUAUAAUGUAGCCGUUAUAAGAGAAGGUCUGUUCGACCUUUAAAUUUUUACAUGAUUUGAGUU